CUGACGAGUGGCGGACGGGUGAGUAAUGCUUGGGAAUCUAGCUUAUGGAGGGGGAUAACUACGGGAAACUGUAGCUAAUACCGCUUAAAAUCUUCGGAUUAAAGGGUGGGACUUUCGGGCCACCUGCCAUAAGAUGAGCCCAAGUGGGAUUAGGUAGUUGGUUAGGUAAAGGCUGACCAAGCCGACGAUCUCUAGCUGGUCUGAGAGGAUGACCAGCCACACUGGAACUGAGACACGGUCCAG
rnacentral:rRNA from 1 species